GACCCAGUGGCGAAGUGGUUUCGCAUCCGCUUACGUUCAGCGGUGAUUGCGAAGGCUUUCGCGGAAGACAUCCGUUCGAUUCGGGUCUGGGUCA